rnacentral:rRNA from 1 species
AGUGGGGAAUUUUGGACAAUGGGCGCAAGCCUGAUCCAGCCAUUCCGCGUGAGUGAAGAAGGCCUUCGGGUUGUAAAGCUCUUUCGCAAGGGAAGAAAACUUACCUUUUAAUAGAGGGUGAGGUUGACGGUACCUUGAUAAGAAGCACCGGCUAACUACGUGCCAGCAGCCGCGGUAAUACGUAGGGUGCGAGCGUUAAUCGGAAUUACUGGGCGUAAAGCGUGCGCAGGCGGUUUUGUAAGUCAGAUGUGAAAGCCCCGGGCUCAACCUGGGAACUGCGUUUGAAACUACAAGGCUAGAGUAUGGGAGAGGGGGGUAGAAUUCCACGUGUAGCAGUGAAAUGCGUAGAGAUGUGGAGGAAUACCAAUGGCGAAGGCAGCCCCCUGGCCUAAUACUGACGCUCAUGCACGAAAGCGUGGGGAGCAAACAGGAUUAGAUACCCUGGUAGUCCACGCCCUAAACGAUGUCAACUAGUUGUUGGUGGAGU